rnacentral:rRNA from 1 species
AACGAACGCUGGCGGCAUGCCUAACACAUGCAAGUCGAACGAGACCUUCGGGUCUAGUGGCGCACGGGUGCGUAACGCGUGGGAAUCUGCCUUUUGGUUCGGAAUAACAGUUGGAAACGAAUGCUAAUACCGGAUGAUGACGAAAGUACAAAGAUUUAUCGCCAGGAGGAUGAGCCCGCGUAGGAUUAGCUAGUUGGUGUGGUAAAGGCGCACGAAGGCGACGAUCCUAGCUGGUCUGAGAGGAGGAUCAGCCACACUGGGACUGAGACACGGCAGAGACGCCUAGGGGAGGCAGCAGUGGGGAAUAUUGGACAAUGGGCGAAAGCCUUAUCCAGCAAUGCCGCGUGAGUGAUGAAGGCCUUAGGGUUGUAAGGCUCUUUUACCCGGAUGAUAAUGACAGUACCGGGAGAAUAAGCUCCGGCUAACUCCGUGCCAGCCGCCGCCGUAA